GCUCUGUGCUAGGAACCCUCCAGUCUCUCACAUACAUGCUGUGAGAGCUCACCCUAUGCAGCUUUGAAACAUUGGUCCUCAGGGAGGAGACAGGACUCAUAAAGACUACAGAAUCAGGGAAGAGCAAGAGACUUUGUCUUUCAGAGUGAUGGUCUAGAUUUCUUAAGUGGUACAUUGGAAAGAGUGUCAGAUUUGGAGUUAAACAGCUAAGCAAAGUGCAGUUUGCUGAGAUGGAAGAAAAGAGGCAUCUCAGGCCAGAUGAACAGAAAGAACAAAGAUGUAGGACCAGGAAAGAGCUCAGUAUAUCCAGAGUUGCAAACUGGAACCUCAUCCUGGAAAUGAUAGGGGAGCCAAAGAAAGUUGAAAAACGAAGAACAAAAUACACAAUGAAGAUUUAAUUACAAUUUGAGGCAGAAUGGGCCUAGAACAGAUGGGAGAGCCUGGUGUGGGUAGUUUAAAGCCAUCCAGGAAGGAUCUUUGCCGUGAGAAAGAUCUCUAGGAAGAACAAAACAAUUCCACCUCAACCUUGGAAGACUUUCCUGAGGCGGCCCAGGAGACAGGGGCAGAGUUUGGCCUGAAACUGGAUGUCAUUAGCACUGUGUCCCUGCUUCUUUACCUACCCCAGGACAUAUUCAUUGUGCCUCUAUCCUCUACAACGGCAGUGUUUCUUUGGAGACUUUUCUUACGAUUCCUAAAUCUCCUCAUGAUAUAUCUAAAUCCUGCCUAUCCUUCAAUACCCAGUUCAAGUCAAUCAACCCAAUAAAUAUUUUCUGGGCUCCUAUGUCUGCCCUGGCCUAAGCUGAGAGAUUCAGAAAUAAAUAUAAUGGGUGAGGGUUCCAUCCUUAAAUGAGCUCCCAGGCGGAGUGGGGGACACAGACACGUAACAGAUGAUUUCACUAUACUGGUCAGUCCUAAUAAAGGUGUGAUGGACUUUUUAUGCUUUCUGGGGAACGGGGAGGUGGGCAAAUCAGGGCGCCAAGGGAGAGAGGAAGAAGUUAAGCAAAGCUCAUGAAGAAUUAAGUGUAGCCGGACUAUGAGAUAUGUGCUUGCCAGAGUAGAGGAUGACCAGAUUAUGAAGGAUGUUGAAUACCCCACUAAGGAAUUUGCUCUUGAUCCUAAAAGCCAUAGGGAGUUAUUAAAUAGUUUGCAGCAAAGGAGGCACAUGAUCAGAUCUGUGUUUUAAGAAGAGCAAAUGUAAAAAAAAAAAAAAAAAAAAAAA